rnacentral:rRNA from 1 species
AUUGAACGCUGGCGGCAUGCCUUACACAUGCAAGUCGAACGGUAACAGGCCUUCGGAUGCUGACGAGUGGCGAACGGGUGAGUAAUACAUCGGAACGUGCCCGAGAGUGGGGGAUAACGAGGCGAAAGCUUUGCUAAUACCGCAUACGAUCUCAGGAUGAAAGCAGGGGACCGCAAGGCCUUGCGCUCACGGAGCGGCCGAUGGCAGAUUAGGUAGUUGGUGGGAUAAAAGCUUACCAAGCCGACGAUCUGUAGCUGGUCCGAGAGGACGACCAGCCACACUGGGACUGAGACACGGCCCAGACUCCUACGGGAGGCAGCAGUGGGGAAUUUUGGACAAUGGGCGCAAGCCUGAUCCAGCCAUGCCGCGUGCAGGAUGAAGGCCUUCGGGUUGUAAACUGCUUUUGUACGGAACGAAAAGACUCCUUCUAAUAAAGGGGGUCCAUGACGGUACCGUAAGAAUAAGCACCGGCUAACUACGUGCCAGCCGCCGCAGUAACAC